CUCAGUGCAUACAGUUGAGUGGAGACUUACAGCCAAGAAGCAGAGUGGGUCACUGAGUGAGAGCUAACUCGAGUGAACCAAAAAGAAGGUGUGUUCUUCUGGCCAGCCGUCCUGGCAGAGUUCUUACUAAUAGCUGGCCAAGAUGGCCAGAUCGCAGAGUAAGAGGCGCAGGGCUCAGCCUACAAUCACGCCGAAGUCUUGGAAGUAUGAUCCCAGGAACUGCACCCAAAUCUUGUAUGCAGUGAGAUGCUGGAAUGCAGCUGAGGAAAACGGGGGUAAAGCUUGGAAGUGAGAAGACGAACUGCAGGUGGAAAAUAAGAAGACCAAAAGAAAACAGCAUGCUACACAGUUUGGAAACGCCAUCCUCCUAGUCUCCUGUUCGCACAGCACACCUUCAUCCCCAUCUCCCUUCUCUAAGAAGACCUAAAGAAUCAACUAACCUUGGCCAGUGGGGCCUUACAGUAACUGACCCACCAAUCAAAGAGCAAGCAUGGACUGGUCCUGGGCUCCCUGUAUGUGUGUAGCAGAUGUGCAUCUUGGUCUUCAUGUGGAUCUCCCAAUAACUGGAGCAGGGGCUUCUCUGACUUUGUGUAGUUGUUGUUGUUUCGUUUUUGUUGUGUUAAUGAGGUUAUUUUAAUAACAGAGUCCUCUGUUAGUUCACAACUUUGUGUAGUUGUCGUUGUUUCGUUUUUGUUGUGUUAAUGAGGUUAUUUUAAUAAAAGAAU